rnacentral:rRNA from 1 species
GAGUUUGAUCAUGGCUCAGAACGAACGCUGGCGGCGUGCUUAACACAUGCAAGUCGAGUGCGCGUGCCGUAGCAAUACGGUAUGGCGCACGGCGCACGGGUGCGUAACACGUGGGCAAUCUGCCCUCCGGUGGGGAAUAACCCCGCGAAAGCGGGGCUAAUUCCGCAUAACAUUCCCUGGACUCUGGUUCGGGGAUUCAAAGCAGCAAUGCGCCGGAGGAGGAGCCCGCGCCCGAUUAGCUAGUUGGUGAGGUGACGGCUCACCAAGGCAAUGAUCGGUAGCUGGUCUGAGAGGAUGGCCAGCCACACUGGAACUGAGACACGGUCCAGACUCCUACGGGAGGCAGCAGUGGGGAAUCUUGCGCAAUGGGCGAAAGCCUGACGCAGCGACGCCGCGUGGGGGAUGAAGCUUCUCGGAGUGUAAACCCCUUUCGACCGGGACGAAUGCCCGCAAGGGAGUGACGGUACCGGUAGAAGAAGCCCCGGCUAACUACGUGCCAGCAGCCGCGGUAAGACGUAGGGGGCCAGCGUUGUUCGGAAUUACUGGGUGUAAAGGGUUCGUAGGCGGUGUGGCAAGUCGGGAGUGAAAUUUCUGGGCUUAACCCAGAAGCUGCUUCCGAAACUGCUGUGCUAGAGUGCGGGAGAGGCGCGUGGAAUUGCAGGUGUAGCGGUGAAAUGCGUAGAUAUCUGCAGGAACACCCGUGGCGAAAGCGGCGCGCUGGACCGUUACUGACGCUGAGGAACGAAAGCUAGGGGAGCAAACAGGAUUAGAUACCCUGGUAGUCCUAGCCCUAAACGAUCAGGACUUGGGGUGCCUUCCGUUCGGAAGUCGUCCCGGAGCUAACGCGUUAAGUCCUGCACCUGGGGAGUACGGUCGCAAGACUGAAACUCAAAGGAAUUGACGGGGCCCGCACAAGCGGUGGAACAUGUGGUUCAAUUCGACGCCUACGCGAGGAACCUUA